UGCUUGGGAAUAUGCCUUUAGGUGGGGGACAACAGUUGGAAACGACUGCUAAUACCGCAUAACGUCUACGGACCAAAGUGGGGGACCUUCGGGCCUCACGCCUAAAGAUUAGCCCAAGUGGGAUUAGCUAGUUGGUUGAGGUAAAGGCUCACCAAGGCAACGAUCCCUAGCUGGUUUGAGAGGAUGAUCAGCCACACUGGAACUGAGACACGGUCCAGACUCCUACGGGAGGCAGCAGUGGGGAAUAUUGCACAAUGGGCGAAAGCCUGACGCAGCGACGCCGCGUGGGGGAUGAAGCUU
rnacentral:rRNA from 1 species